rnacentral:rRNA from 1 species
CCUACGGGAGGCAGCAGUGAGGAAUAUUGGUCAAUGGACGAGAGUCUGAACCAGCCAAGUAGCGUGAAGGAUGACUGCCCUCUGGGUUGUAAACUUCUUUUAUAAAGGAAUAAAACGAGGCACGUGUGCCUUUUUGCAUGUACUUUAUGAAUAAGGAUCGGCUAACUCCGUGCCAGCAGCCGCGGUAAUACGGUGGAUCCGAGCGUUAUCCGGAUUUAGUGGGUUUAAAGGGAGCGUAGAUGGGUUGUUAAGUCAGUUGUGAAAGUUUGCGGCUCAACCGUAAAAUUGCAAUUGAUACUGGCAGUCUUGAGUACAGUUGAGGUAGGCGGAAUUCGUGAUGUAGCGGUGAAAUGCUUAGAUAUCACGAAGAACCCCGAUUGCGAAGGCAGCUUACUAAACUGUGACUGACAUUGAUGCGCGAAAGUGUGGGUAUCAAACAGGAUUAGAUACCCUGGUAGUC